rnacentral:rRNA from 1 species
ACCCGCUGAAUUUAAGCAUAUAACUAAGCGGAGGAAAAGAAACUAACAAGGAUUCCCCUAGUAAGGGCGACUGAAGCGGGAUCAGCCCAGAUUGUAAACUGACCUUAAUCAAGGUUGGGUUGUAGUCUAAAGAGGCGACGCCAGGCAAGGUCCGGGGAGAAGUCCCUUGGAACAGGGCAUCGGAGAGGGUGACAAUCCCGUCUGUGCCUCGGACCGCGUCGUACGGUGCGUCUUCGACGAGUCGGUUUGCUUGGGAUUGCAGACCAAACGGGUGGUAAAUUCCAUCUAAGGCUAAAUACGGGUGGGAGACCGAUAGCGAACAAGUACCGUGAGGGAAAGAUGCAAAGAACUUUGAAAAGAGAGUUAAAAAGGGCCUGAAACUGGUAAGAGGGAACCGAACGGCAGAAGUGGUGAUGGGCGCGUAUUUUCCGCCGGGCUCUUGGCCGGCGUACUUGUGCGCGUCCGUAGGUCAGCGUGGGUUGGGGCGUGGGAGUCGUUCAUGGGAAGGUCUUCGGGCCAAUCUCGUGUUCAGGCCGCGCCUGAGACCUUCGGUGACGAAAUUCUUCCGUUCACCCCGUCUUGAAACACGGACCAAGGAGUCUAAAAUACGAGCGAGUGCGCCGGUGGCAACCCGGGGCGCGUAAUGAAAGUGAGACCGACGGUGGGAGGGCUUUACGUCCGCACCAUCAACCGACCAGGAUCCUUCGGGUGAAAGGUUUGAGUGUAGCUUGUAUUUUGGGACCCGAAAGAUGGUGAACUAUGCCUGAAUAGGGCGAAGCCAGGGGAAACUCUGGUGGAGGCUCGUAGCGAUUCUGACGUGCAAAUCGAUCGUCAAAUUUGGGUAUAGGGGCGAAAGACUAAUCGAACCAUCUAGUAGCUGGUUCCCUCCGAAAUUUCCCUCAGGAUAGCAGCAAUCGAAGAGUUUUAUCAGGUAAAGCGAAUGAUUAGAGGCCUCAGGGGUGGAACGUCCUUGACCUAUUCUCAAACUUUAAAUGGGUAAGAGCCAGGGGUUGCUUAAGUGAACCCCUCGGUCGAAUCGCGGUUGCUAGUGGGCCACCCGGGGUAAGCUCGGUUGGCGAUGCGGGAUGAUCCGAACGUCGAGUUAAAGUGCCUCACUGCCCGCUCACCUAGAUCCCACAAAAGGUGUUGGUUCAUUUAGACAGCAGGACGGUGGCCAUGGAAGUCGGAACCCGCUAAGGAGUGUGUAACAACUCACCUGCCGAAUGGAUUAGCCCUGAAAAUGGAUGGCGCUGAAGCGAGCGACUUAUACUCGACCAUCACGGCAAGUGCGACGCCGUGAUGAGUAGGAGGGCGUGGGGCUCGUGGCGCAUCCCGCGGCGUGAGCCGGGGUGAAACGGGCUCUAGUGCAGAUCUUGGUGGUAGUAGC